rnacentral:lncRNA from 1 species
UCCUAUUCUGCCUGUAGGGAGGACACUGCUUGAGGAAGCUCUCCACCGAAUUGUUCUAACUGUGUGGAUGUGCUCUGGGCCACCAAGAGGCAGGUAGAAGGGCGAAGUUCGAGAGGACUUGGGAGUCACGGGAGAUGGUUGAGGAAGGAGCCAGGAAAAGCAAGAUGGGCAAAGCCCAAAGAAAAACAUCCCAGUCUCCACACCUUUGCUCAGGAAAAGCCCAGGGAACUGGGCUCUCAUUUCUUUUUGCAACUUUCCUCUUGAGACCUCUGUGUGGUUCUUAUUGUUGACUUUGCCAUUGGUGCCUGCCGUGGAAGAUCAAGUGUUGCUUUUAGCACAAGGUAUCUUGACCUGGGGCUUGGAUUCAGCUCCACAGCACACAGAGAAAACCAGUACCAUUCAAGAUGGCAGAAGGAUUGAAUGGAGCGCAUCAGGUUUGAUCAGCUUCCAGUUGGUCUUAACUUUUGUGUACCCCUUCCUUGAGAGAAGCUCCUCAGGUAAGCAGCAGGUGUGUGGUGCUCCAGGGUCCUGUCUCCAUGCCUCCAGGGAAUACCAUUUGAAUGACUAUCAUCCC